rnacentral:tRNA from 1 species
GGCGAGGUAGCUCAGUCGGUAGAGCACACGGCUGAAAACCGUGGUGUCGCCGGUUCGAUUCCGGCCCUCGCCACCU